CAGGACAUCAGCAAAGACUGCAGUGAGAAAGCCUGUCUCUGAAUCAGCAGCAGCUUAGCUUUUGGAGAAAGAAAAGCCCUGGAAAUCAUCCUUCAGGCAGCUGUGCCUUGCAGGCAGGAGGAGGGGGAAAAGCCCUGCAUAAAGCCCAAGCUCCCAUAAGUGGAAAAUAUCAUAUGUACCUUUUUAAAAUCCUUCAGGAUGCAGCUGCAAAUAAUGAAGACAAAUGAUUCCUUCAAAAUAAAGAUAAUAAUGGAAACAGGCUAUGCCUAGAAUUCACCUCAGCUUUAGAUUCUGAUGGCA